rnacentral:misc_RNA from 1 species
ACACCUCAACUCCUCAUGGUCUUCUAUGAUGAGCUUGGACUUUGGGGGCUUGCUGGCCCAUUUGGUCAGCUCCUCUCAAAUGAAUCAGCCUACCAGUGUUUGGUGGCACCACAGGUGUGAUAACAAUCUACGCUUGAGGUUUUCCACCAGGCAACCUUCAGUAAUUGGGGUUCACUGGGGCUCACAAAUGUCUUUCUUCAGUGAGGACAGCUCUUUGAAU